UGGGGAAUAUUGCACAAUGGGCGCAAGCCUGAUGCAGCCAUGCCGCGUGUAUGAAGAAGGCCUUCGGGUUGUAAAGUACUUUCAGCGGGGAGGAAGGGAGUAAAGUUAAUACCUUUGCUCAUUGACGUUACCCGCAGAAGAAGCACCGGCUAACUCCGUGCCAGCAGCCGCGGUAAUACGGAGGGUGCAAGCGUUAAUCGGAAUUACUGGGCGUAAAGCGCACGCAGGCGGUUUGUUAAGUCAGAUGUGAAAUCCUCGGGCUCAACCUGGGAACUUCAUCUGAUACUGGCCAGCUUGGGUCUCGUAGAGGGGGGUAGAAUUCCAGGUGUAGCGGUGAAAUGCGUAGAGAUCUGGAGGAAUACCGGUGGCGAAGGCGGCCCCCUGGACGAAGACUGACGCUCAGGUGCGAAAGCGUGGGGAGCAAACCGG
rnacentral:rRNA from 1 species